rfam:Ictidomys tridecemlineatus contig012925, whole genome shotgun sequence.
GGGGAUAUAGCUCAGUUGGUAAAGUGUUUGCCUCACAUGCACAAGGCUCUGGGUUCAAUCCCCAGAACCUUA